UCAUGGCUGUGGCUUAACCCCCGCACAUAGAGCUUAACCGCAGCGUCAGCCCUUAACCUUGAAGCUGAUCAAGGUAGACCUCAAGGUUUUGGUUUUCCAUGCAGCUCCAAUAUCAGUUUGCAGCAAUGAGACCCUGUCUGUGCAUACAUGAUAAGUUUGUCACACACAAAGCAACAAUAUCACUUUGUCGCAGUAACAACAUCAUCGCAGAUUGCGAGACUGUUCUUCGUGACUGCAGAAAGUCUCCCUUCCAACUCCUAUCUCGGCAGUGGAAUUUUCUUCGCCGCUGGGUGGUCCUGUAGCUGAACAAGUCUAUGGACUCCGACGAUGGAUGUGGCAGGUCUCGGGCCUGUAAGAGAGCACGCUUCUGCGUCGUUCGAACAAACUCUCUCUGGCUUCACUAGAAAAUGGCAAUACACACACAAAAUCUAAUGUGUGAACAUGUGAGUUUAAAAUCACGUGGUUUGGUAGCUUAUGUUAAUAUGCUGUUCAUUUUGCUUCUUUCAUUGACUCUAAUGCCUGAAGUUUUAUUUAUUUAAUUAUUUAUUUAUUUAUAAACAUUCUAACCUGCCAUGACCAACA